GUACUACUUCCCCUUGAUCAUUUUCCACAACUAGGACUUCUUCAGGUUUAGCCAUCCGGCUCACCAUGAGCAAUCGAACCUGCGUGUCACAUAGGAGAGUUUAAACGGGAUGAAAGUGUAACAUGGAAACACACACACGGCUCCUCCACGGGUGUUUCUGGAGCACUCCGGGCAGGCAACCUGACCCAUACAAAGGGUAUAUCCAGCACUUCACAAGAGGGCUAAUUCCGGAAGUGCACUGAGAACAACAGUAGUUGGAAAAAGGACUAGAACUCGGAUGGACACGUUGGAUUACAGCUAAUCCACCUGCAAGAUGUCUUUCCCCCUCCCGAUGGAACCUGGCCUCCACGUUUAAGAUGUGAUGUUGUUCUUAUACCUCAUCGGUCAGGGCAGCUCCUCACCCUACCGCCUCCGUACCUGCACAGGGCUCGGUUCUGGGCACAGGAAAGUGCUUCAAGGUGCCAUGGAGCCAGUCUCAGCCCCUUGGAGCUCAGCGGUGUGAGGAAGCCAGCAAACAAAACUUUUACUCACAAUGUACGAAAACACAACUAAAACCACCCUAACUUUGUCUAGCUCCACUACAGUAGGAGGUAGCGCCUUACGUGUUUAGUAGUCACCUAGAAUUUAAGCCUUUCCAACCCUUCAUUCCUAUCUGCGUUACUACAGAUGCCAGUAAUUUUGACAAUGAAGUUGCACUUGACUGUCAAAAUUGAAAAGAACGCAACAGUCUUCAAGAACAGAAGGGAAGAAGCACAGAGGAAGGACAACUGUGAACCUGAUUCUCAGCAACUGCUCUAAGACAUCUGAUAACUCCUCCAAGACCAGUAAUAUUACAAAAUAAAGCAUACAUGGUCAUUUGGUAGAGCUCUGCCAUUAAGCAUUAUUGGCACACUGUCUUUAUUAUAUAGAAACAGACCAUGAUCCUUGAGGACUGUAUUUAAAGCCUUUCAGUUCAACUUCGGGAACGGCAAAUUACGCAAGAAGCUGCACCAGGAUGGAACCACUGAACCCCAGCAUGUGCUGUACCCCAGAAAUCAGCUUGGGAUGCUGAAUAAAAACAUCACUGAGCUGCUUCACACAGACCGAUCAAAGUCAUAGCAACACCACCUCUAUGCGAGAGUUUUACAGAAAAUAAGAGUCUGUAAAGACCCAUGGAAAAAGAAUACAUUUAUUUAUUUUAAAGCGGUAUUUUACACCUUUAGGGAGGAACAAGAAGAGGGAGAAAGACACCUAUGGUCUUUGAAUGUUCUCUUAGGAUGGGAUCACUGAAAAUAGAGUGCUAUUGAAACAUAUCAGGAAACAAGUUUUCAAAGGCUUUUUGUAUUCAUGUGAUUUACUAAUUUUGUGAAUAGGUGCAACGAUCUAGAGAUUUUAUCAGAAUCACAUCCUUUGAGUACGAGGACAUGCUACAUUUCUAGACUAGAUAAACCGAGCAACUUACCUCCAUUAGCGUCUCCCUCAGAUUUAAUCUUUUUUCUAUAAGUUGACCAUGUUCCUUGAGGAACGUGCAGAGAAACAAACUGAGAUUCUGAAUGAAGUUCUGUUCAUCAUCUUUUCCAUUCGAGUACGCAAGUCGGAUAUUGGUAUUUAAAGGAAGCAUCUAAUAAGAAGAAAUGUGUUAGCUUUAAAAUUCUAUCAUUAUACAAAUAAAGCAUUUUCAACACCGU